rnacentral:lncRNA from 1 species
AAGACAAAUUCAAAUGCUACUCCAAAAUCAGCAUGCCACAAUCGACACGAAGCUUAACUAUUGAGCUUAAUCCAAUCAUCAAGAACAACUCCUUUGUUUUUGUGCAUCAAGUCAAGAGUUGAAACCCCGCCUAACACAUCACACAAAAAUCAUAGUGCUUCUUAUUCUUAAAAUAUACAGAGAGACUGUACUAGUGCAACCAGUCUCUGUUUAGGCUUCCCCUCCCCAUAAAAUAUUAGUAGGAAUAGGUUAAGAUAGUUUAAAAAAAAAAUACACGAGGAUUACUAGGCUGUCGGUCUUAAGCAACCAAAAAUACAGCACAAAACCAAAAAAAAAAAAGAAACAACAACCACCCUCCAGCCCAAGCAAAACAAGGAAUACCCUCCUUUGAACAAUGUCGACCAACUAGGCUAUUUCGAACAACCAAAAGAAGGGAGCUAUUUGGAUCAACUAGGCUAUCUGAGCUGGAAAACAGGCGAUACCCUCCUUCGAACUAUGUCUUGAAUCUGUUCCUCAGACAAAAUUGAUGCCUCUAUCUCAAAAUUGGCUCUCUCCAUCUGCUGCUGAAUCUACAGAACCCCCAAAAAAAAAAAAAUGGCACUUAGCAGAUAAAUAUAAAGUUUUAUGCAAAUGAAGAGGAUUUACAUCUCCAAAGGAUUUCAAACCUGCAUGACUUUAGGUUGAUUACAGUCAACCUUACCAAAUAUCAAGCUAAGAAUCGUGGUUAAGCAACAAUAGCUUAUAUAAGAGUUCAAGUCGUACCUUCUCCAGGACUGCAGACUGGUCAUCUAGAUGAAAAUUGCGCAUGUAUUUUAGCAUCUCCAGUUGCUGCAAAAAGUAUUAAGCCUCACGUUUCUGUAAAAUCAUUUUGUCCAGUGGAUUCUAACUAAAAGUCAAAGAAUCUUCACCUGCUCUUGUAAUUUAUGUUGCAUAUGCAUUCUUUCUGCAAAUUUUUCUGGUCCAAGCUCAGCCUCUUCACAAGCCAUCUCUUCCCUUUCAAUUUGCAUGGGUGUUAGAGCAUUACAAAUAAAUUUCUCAUCAAAAAUUGAUUGAUUGAUCAUUCCCCCACUCAGAAUUAUGAUCAUAAGGCUCCUUAGCAGUCAAAGAACUGAACUCAUUAAGUCUCCUCCAAAGAUAAGUACAAAAUUGUCAUGUACAUGUUUAUUCAACAGGUUUUCAAGAUUUCAAUGGAUAGGCAUCAACUGAAGUUUGUUUCAUCCAAGCACAAGCACCAAAAUGAUAUCAUAAACUUGUGAAUGCUUGUUCAUAGUACAAGAAGAUUGACAGGAAGACAAAUUCAAAUGCUACUCCAAAAUCAGCAUGCCACAAUCGACACGAAGCUUAACUAUUGAGCUUAAUCCAAUCAUCAAGAACAACUCCUUUGUUUUUGUGCAUCAAGUCAAGAGUUGAAACCCCGCCUAACACAUCACACAAAAAUCAUAGUGCUUCUUAUUCUUAAAAUAUACAGAGAGACUGUACUAGUGCAACCAGUCUCUGUUUAGGCUUCCCCUCCCCAUAAAAUAUUAGUAGGAAUAGGUUAAGAUAGUUUAAAAAAAAAAUACACGAGGAUUACUAGGCUGUCGGUCUUAAGCAACCAAAAAUACAGCACAAAACCAAAAAAAAAAAGAAACAACAACCACCCUCCAGCCCAAGCAAAACAAGGAAUACCCUCCUUUGAACAAUGUCGACCAACUAGGCUAUUUCGAACAACCAAAAGAAGGGAGCUAUUUGGAUCAACUAGGCUAUCUGAGCUGGAAAACAGGCGAUACCCUCCUUCGAACUAU